UACGUAGGGGGCUAGCGUUGUCCGGAAUCAUUGGGCGUAAAGAGCGCGUAGGCGGCCAGAUAAGUCCGGUGUGAAAGUCACAGGCUCAACCUGUGAAUGCCGCUGGAAACUGUCUGGCUUGAGUCCGGGAAGGGGCGAGUGGAAUUCCUGGUGUAGCGGUGAAAUGCGCAGAUAUCAGGAGGAACACCAAUGGCGAAGGCAGCUCGCUGGAACGGUACUGACGCUGAGGCGCGAAAGCGUGGGGAGCGAACAGG
rnacentral:rRNA from 1 species